rnacentral:lncRNA from 1 species
CCAACUGGGUUUGAUUGUAAACCCGGAAAAACAAUCGGUUGGUUCUAGUCGGUGAGCCUGUGAAAACCGACCGAGUUCGUUGUAAUCUCGCAAAACAACAAGUUGGGUUGUGAGCUUGUAAAACAACCGGCUGUAAUCUGUAGGAUUAUAGUGAAAUUCCCAAGAAGUCUUGGGGAGUGGAUGUAGGUGCUGGGGUGCACCGAACCACUAUAUGUUUGUUGUGUUUGUAAUGCUUCUUGUCAUUGUCUAACUUACUCA